AGAUGCGAUCAUACCAACACUAAUGCACCGAAUCCCAUCAAAACUCUACAAAUAAGCGUGCUUGGGCGAGAGUAAUACUAAGAUGGGUGAAUUCAUAGAAAGUUCUCUUGUUGCACCUU
rnacentral:rRNA from 1 species